rnacentral:rRNA from 1 species
UCUACACCAUACCACCCUGAACGCACCCGAUCUCGUCUGAUCUCGGAAGCUAAGCAGGGUCGGGCCUGGUUAGUACUUGGAUAGGAGAAACACUUAGGAAAGAA